rnacentral:rRNA from 1 species
UAAGUAAGCUUUGAUCCAGAGAUUUCCGAAUGGGGAAACCCAGCAUGAGUUAUGUCAUGUUAUCGAUAUGUGAAUACAUAGCAUAUCAGAAGGCACACCCGGAGAACUGAAACAUCUUAGUACCCGGAGGAAGAGAAAGAAAAUUCGAUUCCCUUAGUAGCGGCGAGCGAAACGGGAAGAGCCCAAACCAACAAGCUUGCUUGUUGGGGUUGUAGGACACUCUAUACGGAGUUACAAAGGACGACAUUAGACGAAUCAUCUGGAAAGAUGAAUCAAAGAAGGUAAUAAUCCUGUAGUCGAAAAUGUUGUCUCUCUUGAGUGGAUCCUGAGUACGACGGAGCACGUGAAAUUCCGUCGGAAUCUGGGAGGACCAUCUCCUAAGGCUAAAUACUCUCUAGUGACCGAUAGUGAACCAGUACCGUGAGGGAAAGGUGAAAAGCACCCCGGAAGGGGAGUGAAAUAGAACCUGA